rnacentral:rRNA from 2 species
UUCGCUCAGGACGAACGCUGUGUUGGCGUGCCUUAUACAUGCAAGUCGAGCGGAUCUCUGAUGGAGCUUGCUCCUGAUGAGGUUAGCGGCGGACGGGUGAGUAACACGUAGGCAACCUGCCCCCAAGAUCGGGAUAACAUUCGGAAACGAAUGCUAAGACCGGAUACACGAUUUGGUCGCAUGAUCGGAUCGGGAAACACGGAGCAAUCUGUGGCUUGAGGAUGGGCCUGCGGCGCAUUAGCUAGUUGGUGGGGUAACGGCUCACCAAGGCGACGAUGCGUAGCCGACCUGAGAGGGUGAACGGCCACACUGGGACUGAGACACGGCCCAGACUCCUACGGGAGGCAGCAGUAGGGAAUCUUCCACAAUGGGCGAAAGCCUGAUGGAGCAACGCCGCGUGAGUGAGGAAGGCUUUCGGGUCGUAAAGCUCUGUUGCCAGGGAAGAAUAAGGAUCAUUUAACUGAUGAUCCGAUGACGGUACCUGAGAAGAAAGCCCCGGCUAACUACGUGCCAGCAGCCGCGGUAAUACGUAGGGGGCAAGCGUUGUCCGGAAUUAUUGGGCGUAAAGCGCGCGCAGGCGGCUCUUUAAGUCUGGUGUUUAAGUGCGGGGCUCAACCCCGUGACGCACUGGAAACUGGGGAGCUUGAGUGCAGAAGAGGAGAGCGGAAUUCCACGUGUAGCGGUGAAAUGCGUAGAGAUGUGGAGGAACACCAGUGGCGAAGGCGGCUCUCUGGACUGUAACUGACGCUGAGGCGCGAAAGCGUGGGGAGCAAACAGGAUUAGAUACCCUGGUAGUCCACGCCGUAAACGAUGAGUGCUAGGUGUUGGGGGUAUCAUGCCCUCGGUGCCGAAGUUAACACAUUAAGCACUCCGCCUGGAGACUAGUCCA